CCUACGGGUUGCACCAGGCGCGAAACCUUUACACUGCGGGAAACCGCGACAAGGGGACACCGAGUGCCAGCAUACAAUGCUGGCUGUCCACAUGUGUAAAUAGCAUGUGAUAGCAAGGGCCGGGCAAGACCGGUGCCAGCCGCCGCGGUAACACCGGCGGCCCGAGUGGUAAUCACUAUUAUUGGGUCUAAAGGGUCCGUAGCCGGUUUAAUCAGUCUUCCGGGAAAUCUGACAGCUCAACUGUUAGGCUCCCGGGGGAUACUGUUAGACUUGGGACCGGGAGAGGUAAGAGGUACUACAGGGGUAGGAGUGAAAUCUUGUAAUCCCUGUGGGACCACCAGUGGCGAAGGCGUCUUACCAGAACGGGUCCGACGGUGAGGGACGAAAGCUGGGGGCACGAACCGGAUUAGAUACCCCUGUAGUC
rnacentral:rRNA from 1 species